rnacentral:rRNA from 1 species
AGCAGCCGCGGUAAUUCCAGCUCCAAUAGCGUAUAUUAAAGUUGUUGCAGUUAAAAAGCUCGUAGUUGAAUUUCGGGGUUAGUAGGUUGGUCAUGCCUCAGGUAUGCACUGGUCUCACUGAUUCCUCCUUCCUGAUGAGCCGUAAUGCCAUUAAUUUGGUGUUGCGGGGAAUCUGGACUGUUACUUUGAAAAAAUUAGAGUGUUUAAAGCAGGCUAACGCUUGAAUACAUUAGCAUGGAAUAAUGGAAUAGGACGUUCGAUCCUAUUUUGUGGUUUCUAGGAUUGACGUAAUGAUUAAUAGGAAUAGUUGGGGGCAUUAGUAUUCAAUUGUCAGAGGUGAAAUUCUUGGAUUUAUUGAAGACUAACUACUGCGAAAGCAUUGCCAAGGAUAUUUUCAUUAA